rnacentral:rRNA from 1 species
GAGUUUGAUCCUGGCUCAGAACGAACGCUGGCGGCGUGCCUAACACAUGCAAGUCGAACGUGAUCCAGAGCUUGCUCUGGUGAAAGUGGCGCACGGGUGAGUAACGCGUGGAUAACCUACCCUGGUAUCCGGGAUAACAUUCCGAAAGGGGUGCUAAUACCGGAUAAGCCCACGGGCUCUUUGGAGCUUGCGGGAAAAGGUGGCCUCUAUUUAUAAGCUACUGUAUCAGGAUGGGUCCGCGUACCAUUAGCUAGUUGGCGGUGUAACGGACCACCAAGGCGACGAUGGUUGGCUGGUCUGAGAGGAUGAUCAGCCACACUGGAACUGAGACACGGUCCAGACUCCUACGGGAGGCAGCAGUGGGGAAUUUUGCGCAAUGGGGGAAACCCUGACGCAGCAACGCCGCGUGAGUGAUGAAGGCCUUUGGGUCGUAAAGCUCUGUCAGAGGGGAAGAAAUGAUAUAGUGCUAAUACCACUUUAUCUUGACGGUACCCUCAAAGGAAGCACCGGCUAACUCCGUGCCAGCAGCCGCGGUAAUAC